rnacentral:rRNA from 1 species
UACAGAGGUGGCAAGCGUUGUUCGGAAUUACUGGGCGUAAGGGCGCGUAGGCGGCCCACUAAGUCAGACGUGAAAUCCCCCGGCUUAACCUGGGAACUGCGUCUGAUACUGGAGGGCUUGAGUAUGGGAGAGGGAUGUAGAAUUCCAGGUGUAGCGGUGAAAUGCGUAGAUAUCUGGAGGAAUACCGGUGGCGAAGGCGGCAUCCUGGACCAUUACUGACGCUGAGGCGCGAAAGCUAGGGGAGCAAACGGG